AUCCCUAAUCUUCCCUAAUCUUCCAUGGCCGACAAUGUUUUGAACUUUCUUUUGAUACCCGUUCCCUUUCCAUUCACCAAGUCCUUUUUCCUAUUACCCUUUCCCCUCUCCCGUCCUCUCUUUCCUCUUCACCUAACUCUAUCAAAGGAAACCAGCUUUCCAUCUCGCUACCAGACGACGAUGUUUUGAACUCCUUCUUCAUCGUUUUCUCUACUUCCCCUUCUUCUUCUGCUCUCUAAUGGCUAACCGACAAAUACGAGUCCCCACCUAUUCCACCAAACAUGUUUAUCUUGUCUUUCAGAACAAAAGAAACGACACCACCAGCCUAAGCCUAAACAGAUCCGAGCUUUCUAUUUUGGCUAAACCAAGACUAUAGCUUGUUCCAAAGAUAACUUCACUGCAUUUUCUCUGCUUGCUUUUUUCCAAUGGAUGUUUUCUAGCUUCUUUUGUUUUGGAGGUUCAUUGCCUUUCUUGACGCAAGUUCCAAACUCUAAAAAUGUGAGUGAAAAGCAUCGCGUCCCUGUUCCUACAACAGAUGAUUUAACACAGGUUUUAGAAGAUGUCUGCAUCGGCUAUAUAUUGUCUCACUUCAAAGGUCUUGACACGGUAUAUGAGUGGUCCAGUGUUCUUUCCCUUGGCGAGCAGCAACGCCUUGCUUUUGCACGUUUGUUGCUUUCUAAACCAAAGUUGGCCCUAUUGGAUGAAUCCACCAGUGCUUUGGAUGAGGUCAAUGAGGCCCAUUUGUACGAGAAAAUGAAGGCAGCGGGCAUCACAUAUAUCAGUAUCGGUCAUCGUCGUACCUUAUAUGCUUAUCAUAAUAGGGUCCUAUAUAUCAUUGGCAGAUGCAGAUAGCAGACAACGCAAUUGGAACAUCAAAUUCAUUGAGCAGGACACUUCACACAAUUUCUUGAAGUUAUAGUUGUAGCUGCCCUAAAGUUUGGUCAAAAUGCUUUAAGCCGAUUUCUUCAUCAAAUUGGAAAAAAGAAAAAGAAAAAGUACACGGCAAAAAGGUUUCCUAUGGAUCAUACUUCCAGCAGGAAAACGAUAUAGUUUACCUAAUUCACGGAUAAUGAUACAUCAGCCUCUUGGUGGAGCUCAAGGAGGUCAAACUGAUAUCGAUAUUCAGGCAAAUGAAAUGCUGCAUCAUAAGGCAAAUUUAAACGGGUAUCUUGCUUACCACACCGGUCAAAGCUUGGAUCAGAUUAACCAGGAUACUGACCGUAAUUUUUUUAUGAGCGUGAAAGAAGCAAAGGAAUACGGACUUAUUAACGGUGUCAUUAUGAAUCCUCUUAAAGCUCUUCAUCCACUAGCUCCUACAGCUGAUAGUAACGAAUAGCCGGGUCUUCCUUCAGUCACUACUCAGAGGUAGGUUCUUGCUUGAAAGACCUGUUGAAGAGGAGAGACCACCUUCAGUGACAGUGAGUGAAUUAAAUCAAUUAAGUCACUACUCAGAAGUAAAAUAUCAAUUAGCCUGUUACUUUAUCAGAAUGUGUUAUAUUUUCUCAACAAUGUCUAAUUUGAGUUUAUAGAAGCAAUAAACCCAUGUAGUAAACAGUAGAUGUAGUAAACCCAUUUUAGUCUAAUUUCAAAGGGUUUUUGAAUUUCCAA